UUCACGCACGACGCGGUUCUCUUUUCCGGAGCUGCGGUUUGUAGAAAAACCGGUUCCCGCUUAGCUGGAGUUGGACAAACGUUUUUUAUUAUAGUAGUUUGUUGUAUUUCACACCUGUUUUUUGGUCAGGCACAAAAUUACAAAACACCGCCAGAGAAAAAAAGACCCAGCUAACGUUAGCAAGACAGACAAGCUAGCACAUCAACUUGUUACCUGCCGACAUCAAACUGGGACAGAACGCAAGUUUACCUGACUUAAGUUCCCGCAAUUUACUCACCUUGAGUUUGUUCCCUCUUUCCGUGACCAGAAGAAUAGUUUAGCUUCAUCCUCUCAUCGAAGUUUGUGAACAUAAUCUCCCGCUUUGAAACGAGGAGGAGGCGGGACCCUACGCAACUAGCUAGUUAGCAUGUAGAGCCGACACCUGUCCUGCUUACAGGUCCUUCUCAUCCAGUUCUGCGUUGACCCCGUUAUCCUCGCUGUCAUCUUGGCCCGGGCCGCCUUCUUUAUCCUCCAGGAUUUCACCUGCUGCCACACAAAUGUUGUGGAGGAAGCACCAGUCACCAAACAGAUGGCCGAACUCCAGGGCCUUAAGAAGACUGACCCCCAGGAUGUUUUCAGGAUCCUAAUGGUGUGCUCCCCCUAAUGUUCCUUGCCCUUGCAUGGUGUCUGCAGUCCUGGGUUUCAACUUGGCCUGUUAAACAGUAUUCAGGACGCUGCAGGCAUGGGUAUCCUCCAUCUCCUAACAGGAAGUACCCAGCUGGUGGAUACAGGAGGAAGAAUCCUGACGCGGCACCCAUCGAUGGCACCGGCAGCACAGCAGAAGGCCUCAUGGUCAGCAAGGCGACAAAGUCAGUCCCGCCUACUCCAUCGCUUCUGGUUUGGGGAAAUGUAUGGUCCUGCAGACUGUGGCUAGUGGCUUGUCAAAGAUAUCUGAAGUUACCCUGGAAGAGUUUCCAUAGGCGAGCCAGGAGACUAGCACCUGAACUUCAUAGAUCAAUCGAUGGGUUCUUUGCCAGGGCAGCAUCUGGACCAGCAUGUUCAGGCUGUUCCAAGGGCUUUCGUCCUGUUUAAAAAAAGACUGACAUCUCUUGAUUUUCUUAACAUUGUCUAUUAAUUGCUGUCAUACUUACAUUUAUUGCUUAUUUGUGUGUUUUUAAUAUUUAUUCAGAUAAUUUCUCAAUAUGAAUGGUCUGAUAUGAAUUGUUGAAGUCUGCUAGAAUUAAAUUGCUGUCUAAGCUCGGCCCUGUUUGGUCAGGAGCUUGCUUAUGCUUAAGAAGGUUUCUAUUUCUUUCAUUGCCUGAUAUGCAGAGAGAGCAAACGUCUCCCCAGGAGUCAAGAAGUUACUGUGGCCUACAAGAUUACUGUAUCACAGAGAUAAAAUGUCCUGUUUGUGUUGAAGUAUACCCUGGUUGCCAACUACUGAU